rnacentral:rRNA from 1 species
UACGUAGGGUGCAAGCGUUAAUCGGAAUUACUGGGCGUAAAGCGUGCGCAGGCGGUUGUGCAAGACCGAUGUUAAAUCCCCGGGCUUAACCUGGGAAUGGCAUUGGUGACUGCACGGCUAGAGUGUGUCAGAGGGGGGUAGAAUUCCACGUGUAGCAGUGAAAUGCGUAGAGAUGUGGAGGAAUACCGAUGGCGAAGGCAGCCCCCUGGGAUAACACUGACGCUCAUGCACGAAAGCGUGGGGAGCAAACAGG